GCACCGGUGAUCCAGCGGCGAAGACACCGCUCUCGUACAGCGGCGACGAGGGUUCGAGUCCCUCCCGGUGCU
rnacentral:tRNA from 1 species